GAUUUCUGAUUCUUCGGCCUUGGUCCGCCGGUUUCACGACCGGUAGUGUUUGCCGAGGUUGGGUAUCAUCCUCCUGGAUGUCUAGCCUGCUCUUUACUGGGUUGGGCUAGGAUGUUCUGGGACAUUUACUUUGAAAAAAUUAGAGUGUUUAAAGCAGGCUUACGCUUUUGAAUAGAUUAGCAUGGAAUAAUAAUAUAGGACAGGGUCCCUAUUUUGUUGGUUUCUAGGGAUACUGUAAUGAUUGAUAGGGAUAGUUGGGGGUGCUCGUAUUGAGUGGCCAGAGGUGAAAUUCUUGGAUUCACUCAAGACGAACUACUGCGAAAGCAUU
rnacentral:rRNA from 1 species